CCCUAACAAGUAGUGGGAACAGAUGGACCCAGAGGUCAUGUCAACCUCAGCCUUUCUAUUAUUUUGUUAUUAUAGACUUCCACAUGGAUCAUUAAAUGCUAGAAUACACAGACAAACGAAGUUCAUCAACACCAGUAAGAUUUCAAGACAGAAUACAGACAUCCUCAGCUGUUAACUUAUCAAACAAACAUAUCAAACAUUCUUUUGCCUUCCACAUACUUCUAUUUCACAAACAAGGAACUGAGACUAUGUCAAUUCAUAGCAGCAGAUGAGAGUGCAGAAGUGAAAUAAAAAACUCCCCCCGGCUCCAAACUUUUAACCACUAGAAUGAAAAACCAAGGACAGUUUGAUCAUUGAGGUUUGCUGCUUCAGAGCUGUCCCAGCCAGAACCACAGCAACUGAGUGGGAGGUAUAGGGGGGGUUCGGUCGUUCCCUCAUCCAGGGAUCCCUGAGACAACAGAGCAGCCGGGCAGCUCUCGAGAGAACAGCUGAUGUGGCAUGGGCGUUGCCGGGGCAACGGCUCUGCGUCCACACCCUCUGCCUAGAAAGUGCCUCCGGGACAGAGAGGAUGAGUCGGGGUGUGGGAAUCACGUGGGCUGUUUUUACGAGGAGAAACUGUAAGCCAUCCAUCCACAGGACUACGUAGCGAGGAAGCACCUGGCAUAGUGGAUGCAGAUGGAAGUAGCCUGUCUCCAAGGAGUAAUAGGAUCUUAGCCAAGGAACUGGCAGCACUCACUGAAAGUAUCUAAAGGAAACCAAAAGCAGAUAUGGAAGAAAGCACCUUCUCACUACCUGCCUACACAGCAAGCUGAAUUUUUUUACCAUCUUCUCCAGUUUAUGAUCGACAGGAAGGUUUGAUGGAAACCAUUUCUGCAGUGCUUAGCAGAGCAGCCAAGUGUUUCCCAGAACACAGCACUAGCAUACAAAUACUUUGAAGCAAGAUAGGGACCCUAGCAACAGAUCUGCAACAUUGUGAGAAUACAACAGGCAUUCGUACUAUCAAGUUGAUCGUACUAAUACAGCAAGUUAUCUUGCUCACAGUUUGACGAUAUCAACAGCCAAAGCACUGGAGGAAAAAGAAGAACACCACAAAAACCAAGACAGUAAAGAAAUAAACACACCUUAAAAACACACUCCAUCAGAAUGAACUAAAGUUACAGAAUUAUUUUGGGUCAAACUUAUCCACUGAAGUCUUGCUUUAAACUUGGGAAGAAUUGUUUCCGUUUUGUUUUCUAAGAAUGUGAUGUUUUAAACUCAAGAGAUAUUCAUCCAUUUUUUCAUGUUCUUUGAAAUAGAUGAUACAUUUCCAGAAGUAGGAAGUACAUUCAGAUAUUCCAACAAGUUUUUUACUUAAAAAUAACACCAACAGGAAGAUAGGUAGACCCAUUGUAGACAUAAAUUUAAACAAAAUAAUGUGAUUUUAUCAGUGGAGAUACAGUUUUUUGCUGUUUUGUCCCUUACUCUAAUGGGACUUGAAAACAGACAAAAAGUACUUUGGAUUCUCUCAAACAAGCAACAGUACUUUCUAUUUAUCAAAGAUCAGACUCAACACUGCACACCUUAUUACCAAAAAGCAUCAUUCAACAACCCUAAAGAACACAGUUUAGCCCUGACACACAAAAAAGCCCCAUGACACGCAGCCUGAGAAUGACCUCCAGAGAAUAAAUAUCCUGGCCUUUAUACUUCAUUAUCAAGCUUAACAGUACAUGUUGGGGUCAGCAAGGACAGGGUUUUUUUGUUUGUUUGUUUAAUAUCUCUUAUCAGACCACUGCGGCAGACAUUUCUUAGAUUUGAUUAAUGCACCCUUUCUCCUUACUCCUUCAGUAUCUCCUGCUUUUUUAUCUGGAAAAGAUGAAGAGAAGCUAUAAACUUUUAAGACCCACACAGCAGUCUAUUAUUUCCUGGCUUUACCUCAUUUAUCACUGAGAUGCUGACUCAUUGUGAGUCAGCCCACAACAACAACAACAACAUAUCUUCACAUUCUUUCCCAUGGUGAUUCUGAGGGUGGAGUUGUGCAAAAUGACUGAGCCGAUCAAAGCUCCUCUCAGGCACAGAAUGCACAACUCCUUCCCUUACUUCUUUCCUCCUGCCCUGUCCCACUAUAUAAUACACCUUAUCCUUUACACUACUCUGGCAUUUGCCAGCUUCACAUAAAAAUGCUUCUGCUUAACUAACUGCAGUCUACUUCUCAUUCUUUUGGUUGCAUUGUUUUUUUGCUGGGUUACUGGAUCCAGUCCUGAAGUCAUGCAACAAGCUACACAAGUCUCAGACACCAAGACACUCACAGACAGUGGUGGAACAAAGACAUACCCCUUUCAGCUGAAGUGACUCAUUAGAUAUAAGUCAGGCACUGUAUUUUCACCUGGGCUCCUACACUUGCCAAGUUGUUCUGAUCAACAUAUGGAAAGCCAUUGUCUCAAAUCUAAAAAACUUGUUGAUAUAUACAAAACUUCCAAGCCAGGCCAUCUGUGUUUUGCUACAGCUUAGCUUUAUGAACAUUAAUGUCUGGUUUUCUACGUAUCCAUUUUUCCUUUAUGGAAGUAGCAGAUCUCAGUGUUGUGGGUAUUCUCACACCAAGCACACAGUUCUUAAUCCAUAGCUGUUUGCACUGAAUAACAGUGCAGCAUGAAGUCCAGUACAUAUCGUCUUUAGCCCACAGCAAUACUUGAUAUUUUAAAAACCCUAGCCUCAACACUUCAGCCACUCUACACCUUAAAGUAAUUCACAGAUGUAUAUACAUCAGAAGUCUUCAAAGUUGUUUUUUUACUGUUUGUUCUUAAACUCCUGUGGUCUUUUAGCAUCUGACUCAUUUUUUUCAUCCCUUCAGGACUGUAACAGUUUUUUUCCCCUCAGUGAGAAAACGCAAUGCAUUCAGACAGAUCUCAUUCUCUUGAGAGUAAAUAACAUCACCACAGAGCUCCAGCUACACAAAACAACGUUCCAUCCAAUGCAGAAAUGAAACAAGACCAGCAACAGCUAUGUUACCAGGAGUGACGACUCCCUCCCUCUCUCCCCUGGCAGAUAUUGCUGACCAACAUGCACUAGCUACAUGUCAAUUUACUAUUCUGUUAUGUAUAUGUCAAUAACAAGCAAACAAGAAUAGUAGGUUUUAGCAUACAAAUAAUUCAGUAACUCUGAAGUUAGGCAUGAGUUAAACUGAAGAGUGUAUGCUUACAUACACAUUAGUUCUGAGAUGCUAUGUCAGUGGCUGAACACAAAACACGACACAUAACACCAAGUAAACUCAAGUGAAAGACUGCACUAUGGCUGCUAUCACACAUACUAGGAUCAAAGUGAAAAGAAGUGAGAUAAGAGACUAAAUUUGGCUAAAUACUUUUCUUAGAGAAGGAAAUUGUACUUAACAGAAGCAUUUAGUAAUUGUGUAAGAACAAUGUCACAGGAGAUACCUUCCUCAUACUAAGGGAGUGAUCUUCGCAAUCUUUUCCAACCCUAAAUGAUUCUAUGACCUUGUUUAACUUGCACCUCUAUGUUUAGUACAGUAUUUUUUUUUUCUAAGACUAACUGCUACACAGUCAAAUGCUGCAAGGUUGCUUUUAGUGGCUUGUUGAUGAACAUGCUGUCAAAAUGAAGGAAAUAUCUACGAACAUUAAUACACUGUUCUUUGUUUCCACUGAAAUAACCAUGAGUUAUCAGUUAUUAAAGCAAUGAAUUAUUAGGAAUCUGUUACUUAGUGGUGCCAUGCAAGUCUAGAUGACAAUCUACUAAAAUGCUUUUUGUCCAUAAAUCAAAAAAAAAAGAGAAAUUAUAUCCAUCCAUUGUAAACCAUUCUAAUAAUACGAAAUAUUUUUAAUUUACACCUAAUUCAACAUGUGGAAACUAUACAGAAGAAAAAACAAGAAGUUCUGAGAACAAUGGAAGAAAUGACAACUAUAUAAGAAAGGAAAGAGAUAACUUCUGAAUUAUUGAUAUGGACACAACGAGAACCAAACUUUGCCAGAAUUAAAACAACAAGCUAGUGUAUGGAUGGUACACUUUCAGCCUAUAACUUCCAAAAAACAAAACACAGUAAUACUGAAAUAUACCUUCAAUCUAAAGGAAAAAAAAUUACAGAGAAUCAUCUCUACAUCUGAACAUUACGCACAUACUACUGUGUUGAAAACAAAGAAAUACAGACUCACUCUAUGAACGAAGAUAAAACUAUUACUUGAAUUUGCAAGGUGCCAUAUGCUUUGCUCUGGUAUAAAGUGACAUGCAAGUGUUGCUAAAUUACCACCAAAAACUUUAAAUUAAAUAAAAACAGCAAUUUAUUACAAGCCUUAGGUUUAACAACUGAGAACAUUCCCAUAAAAGUAGAGUUGACCAAAAGCAGUGAUUCUAGCAGGAUGUAAGCACAAAUUUACUUAGGUUGUUUCCUAUAUUUUCCAUAGGUGAACAAUACAUAAAGCACUCUAGUUUGAAUGCAAAAGUCCAGAUCACAAAAAGAGAAAAUCGAAGUACUAAGCUUAUUUUCACUCACGCUGCUCAAGAAGGCUAAGAAUACAUGAAAGCAGCACAGCAAUAGAGAAAGCACAUCUAGAGAGAUAUUAAGAGAUAUUAAGAGAUAUUAGAGAGAUACUAAGAAAGCAAAAGAAUUGCUCUUCUACCUGCAUCAGUCAGAGAGAAAUUAAGCUUCAGAUUUAUAAGUGUCUAGAAAGCAAUACAAGAAACAACAUAUAACAAGUAGAAUCUAGGAAAAGCGAGGAUCUCAGAACAAAAUAGCUUUAUAUCAGGAUUACAUUCAUGAAUUUAACUUCUCAUAUUUAUUUUUUUGCAUAUACUUCUGUAAGUAAACAAGCAAGUAAAGUUUAAGAGCCUAUUGUAAUUGUACAGACUUUAAGAUGCAAUAUAUAAACUAAUGCAAGUUAAAUAUAUUUUUUAAAAAGAUUCCCAAGUAUACUGUGACAUUUAAUAACUCUCACAUUGCAUUCAGCUUGAAGUGGGGAGAGCAGUUCAAGAAAUGCACUAUUUUCCAAGUUAUCCUCUUAGAAUAUUAUACAUCAAACCAACCCAUUGAGAUCAUGUUUGUAGAAAACUCAACCUAAGCAUACAUUCUCACCCUUGGACUAUGUUAAUUAUUCACAGUAUGUCAUCUUGUAUGCCACAUUUGUAGACAGUUUUCUUUUACUAAUAGAACUCAAGAAAAACAGGUUUUAUAGUUAAAAUGUUAACAACAUUCAUAGCAUCUAAAGCUACAAUAUUACUGCUCUAACAAAAGCACUGAACAAAGCUGAAGGCUUUGCAUCACUGAAGUAUUUUGGACUGCUAGAGACAACUUAAAAUACCUUUAAACUUUGAACACAACAAGACAUAACCAAAGAAAACCCAUUCCAAAGGAUAAAACCAAUACUUGUUUUUGAUAAACAGCUGAUUCUUUAAAUUCUUUAGAGUAAUAUACAAGCAAUUGUCCUGCCUAAGUUUCCUCAAAUAUCAAUUUUGAAAAUAAGUUUCAAGUUACAACUACAUAAGGGACCAAGAUAGGUUUCAAAAUUCAUUCAGUAAUUUGUCUGUUCAGCACAUGAAGGAUUGCUGUAGCUCUCAAACAUCAGGAAGAUGUGAUGUCACUGCCAAGAGCCUUACCAAUCAUUGCUGGUGUAUAUAUAAUCUUCAUAUAUUCCGCAUAUUUUUCUCCCCCAUGAAAAACAUUUUCAUCUUUCUACAGUAACAGAUGAAUAUACUAAUUAUUAAAAUCAAGCUGAAAUUAGACUCCAAACAAAAGUCCUGAUGUUAGCAGUUCCUAUUAAAAUACUGAAAUAAAUUCUUACAGUACAUACACUUACAGUCUAAAAGAACUUGUUGUAACACACAGAAAUUUAGAUAUUAAGUAAGAAGAAAGAAGAAAAACCAAACUCAAUCAUGAACUGCUGGAGGCCAGGAAAACCUCAGUGGUAGGGUGACUAUGCUCCCGCUCUCCUAUUCUCUUUAUUGUACCAAUUAUCUGCUGUCAAAAGCAGGCUGCAAGGCAGGAACAACCCAGUACCACAGCUAUUUUGUUG